GUAAUGUCAGGUGUACUCCAAAAACAUAUUAAUGAGCACAAUGACAAAGCUAGUUUGGGUAAUCCAAUAAAAAGGACCUGGUGUGAAUUGGCAUUUUUUACUGGUGAUUUUUCCUGAAUGAAAAAGAUUCUCCAGGUGCUCCUGACCCUUCACCACCACGGUCAGCGCCUGAACCCUCCCAGGUCCCACCAAAUUCAACCAGAUGGGAUCUUCCUUGCAAAAGAUCCUGCUUUGUGUGACUAAUCAGCAGCAGGGACUUAGAGAAGGAGCAGCUUAAAAACUACUCCUAGGAUUUCUGUUUUCAUUUGGUUGGUGGGUUUUUUUUCUUUUUUUUCUUUUAGGAACCACAAACAAGUUAAGCUGCUUCUGUCCGCAUAUGAUGCUUGACUAACCUUGACGGUGACAGAGAUGGCCAGGCGAUGGUCACCUGCAGCGCAGCUGGGCAAUAGGCAGCCUCCAAGGCGCUCUUCUCUCCAAAGGUUUUUCAGGGACUGUCGAUCUCCUCCCCCACCUUCCUGGCUGGCCGUGCAGGGUCCAAGGCUUGCUUGUGUUCGCUGGCAGUGGUGAGGAAGCAGCGUUUGGAGACGAAAGUGUUGGGGAGCUGGAUACACCAAGCAGGCAAAGGAACAGCUUUCCCAAGCUGGAAGAUCCCUCCUUCCCUUCCUGCGGGCGUGUGGGAAAAGGGUCAGGCCCAGCUGCUGCAGCCAGCCUGCAGUGAGAGAGGUCGCGGACACGGUGAUGCAAGCUAUCGGCGUCGCGCCAUCUCCCAGCCUGUGCAUUCAGCCUUCCCUCCUUCCACCAGCCGCUGCCGGGAGGAAAGGGUUAAGAAGCAACAAGACUGAGGAACGAGACCAGGGAAUUCAGCUGCUGACGCAGAGCUGGCUUGCUUCACUGUAUUUCCUCCACGUCUGCUGGAGCCCAGCUCACUGAACGCGUCUCUCAGCUUUGGUCCUCAACUCGUAUUACAGAAGUUCCUAAACCAGCUUGAUUCAACUGAAACUUUUGCACUGAGAUCACCACCACGAUAUCCGUCACUCUGAUGCUUAAUGAGCCUCGAGUUUGCUGCUCCUUCCUCCCCUCUGCCUCCAUUCCUGCCCUGUUUCUCCCACUAGCCAGCCCCAGAGCCCGUGUUCCCCGAGAUGGAUUAGCAGUGUGUCUUCAGCCUACGUUUCAUUUUCCUGUUUUCUGCUGAUGUUGCCAGUCUCUCCUGGUCUCUAUUAUUCCUGAGUCUCGGGGUUUGCAACACCUCCUGAUUUAGUGUCAGCUGCAAACGCCUUCCGUGUGCCGUGUACCGCCACUCCCACUCCAUUAAGGAAGAUGUUAAAUAAGACCAAGCCUGGCUUCAUGAGUCCUGUAAAACGUACCUGAGAUUAAAUCAGCGGGUUUGUUUUGAAAUGCCAU
rnacentral:lncRNA from 1 species